rfam:Schistosoma mattheei strain Denwood, Zambia genome assembly, scaffold: SMTD_contig0005319
AUCCAGCUGCUGAGUCCCAAACAGGACGAAACGCAUGUCUUGGAU